UACGUAGGGCGCAAGCGUUAUCCGGAAUUAUUGGGCGUAAAGAGCUCGUAGGCGGUUUGUCGCGUCUGCCGUGAAAGUCCGGGGCUCAACUCCGGAUCUGCGGUGGGUACGGGCAGACUAGAGUGAUGUAGGGGAGACUGGAAUUCCUGGUGUAGCGGUGAAAUGCGCAGAUAUCAGGAGGAACACCGAUGGCGAAGGCAGAUCUCUGGGCCGUUACUGACGCUGAGGAGCGAAAGCGUGGGGAGCGAACAGG
rnacentral:rRNA from 1 species